GAAAGCGGGCUAGCCUGCACGCACGCCAAGAUGGAGCUCCAGGCUAGCCCACAGAACAGCCCAGCCCCAGCCGUCCUACCAGACCAGCACCUUGUAACCACAGUCUAACCCAGCGGGCACCAGGCGAUUGUGAGUGCCGCGGGGCUGAGGCCUGCGCCGACCUGGUCUGCUGGUGCUACCAGGCUUGAACAGUCUUCAAAUCCACUGCUAUUAGGCAAAUUACCUGGCUCCCGCUGAACUCCAGCACCUAGAACUAUGUCACACUCGUAGUAGGCCGCUGCAUUGGUUGAACAAAUGAUUUUGAAAGAAUGAAUGUCUUCCUCUGUGCCUGCAUUUCCUCAGAAGGUUGUAACAAAGAUUAAAUAGGAAAAUUCGUGGAAAGUUCAAUUAC
rnacentral:antisense_RNA from 1 species